rnacentral:rRNA from 1 species
GACGAACGCUGGCGGCGUGCUUAACACAUGCAAGUCGAACGGAAAGGCCCUGCUUUUGUUGGGUGCUCGAGUAGCGAACGGUUGCGUAACACGGGAGUAACCUGCCCUUGACUUUGUGAUAACUUCAGGAAACUGGGGCUAAUACCGGAUAGGAGCUCCUGCUGCAUGGUGUGGGUUGGUAAGUUUCGGCGGAUGGGGAUGGACUCGCGGCUUAUUAGCUUGUUGGUGUGGUAGCUGCUUACCAAGGCUUUGACGGGUAGCCGGACUGAGAGGGUGACCGGCCACAUUGGGACUGAGAUACGAGCAAGAGUCCUACGGGAGGCAGCAGUGGAGAAUAUUGCAAAAUAGGCGGAAGGCGGAUGCAGCGACGCCGCGUGGGGGAGGACGGCCGUCGGGUUGGAACCCGCUUUCGCCUGUGACGAAGCGUGAGUGACGGUAAUGGAUAAAGAAGCACCGGCUAACUACGUG